rnacentral:rRNA from 1 species
AUGAACAAGCAGCAACAAGGCAAAAGGAUGCAACCUUACACAACAAAGAAUGUUCUACCCUCUUCAUCAACUCAUGCAUCAAGAAAAACUCACAAGAAGUACAUGGAGGCUAUUGCAGACAUGAAAAAUGCCACCACUAAAUCCGCAACAUGGAUCACUUUGAAAGAGGACGCACGUGAAGACAACAUCACAAAGCUACUCCAGGAACAUCCAUUCAGGUCCACAAAGUACAUCUUCGAGUACAUGAAGAACGGAAUUAAACAUGUCCAAAUUCUCCUCGAUGAAUAA